GCGCAGCAGUCGCGAAUACUUCACACUGUGCGAAAGCACGAUGAGGGAAUCCCAAGUGCUUGCACGUAAGUGUAAGCUGUUUCUCUGUCUAAAACGCAGAGAGAGUAAGGGCUGGGUAAGACGGGUGCCAGCCGCCGCGGUAAUACCUGCAGCUCAAGUGGUGACCGUUAUUAUUGGGCCUAAAACGUCCGUAGCCGGUUUAA
rnacentral:rRNA from 1 species